GGGAGAUGGUGGUGAGGUUAAG
rnacentral:snRNA from 1 species